rnacentral:tRNA from 1 species
GGCUGUGUGGCGCAGUGGAAGCGCGUCUGCUUUACACGCAGACGGCCGCAGGUUCGAACCCUGCCACAGUCA